AGAGCAGUGUGUCAUUUCCGGACGCCGAGUCUUUCCAGUAAGAGAAGUGAAACAGACCCCCCCCCCCCCCCGCCGCCGCCCCUCCCCCGCUCAACAGCGCGCUCGCGCCAGUGCCCCCGAGACUGUGUCCGUGCCCGUGUCCGCCAGCGCUCCGCUAUUAGGAUCCCCAUCGUGCUCUGAGACGCGGGUCCACAGCGAAGGCUUUAGGAUGCACCACCAUCUCCUUCUCUGGCUCAUUUUCCCGGCGGUGUUGGGCUUUGCAGAUCCCGAGUACUCGCUUUAUUCAACACUAAAGCCUUCAUCGGGACUGCAGGAACAGGACUGGACCCAACCAGCAGACGAUGCAGCCACUGAGGGAGAAUAUGAUGAUGAAGAGGAUUAUAGUUACGACUAUAAGGCAGAGUUUAAUGAUAGCAAUACAAAUAUUUUUCAGGUCAAGCUUUUCAACAAGACAUAUAAUGGAACUUUCAUCAAGUCAAUAAAUUAUUUUAAAAUUGACGAUGAAGAUAUAAGCAGUCGUUUAAAUCUUUCAGAUGGUAUGCAGAGUUUACAAAAGCUGUUUUGCAUGGUGUACAACAACAGUCAGUUUAGCUGCAAUUGGACGGCACAAAAGCCCCCCUCCGACACCCACAUUUCUUUCACUGUCUUUCAGCAAAAUGCAAGAGCCAGAACAUGGAACUGCUCCACUAGACGAAGCAGUGAAGUUGUAGAAUGCAGUGGCAGAAUCAACCCAGACAAACAUCUUAUGACUGUACAAAUCACUUUUUCCCUCCCAAAUUCAUUGUACGUCCAUACUCAACAUUUUGAGGUGAAAGAAAUUGAAAAGCUCAAUCCUCCACACAGAAUAACAAUGUCAUUAACUGCUGGAGACCUUCGAAUCGAAUGGGACCGUCCACAAAAUAUCGGUGAAAACUGCUUCAACUAUCAGUUACGGCUCAGCAAUGACACAGAGCCUAUUUCCUUGAUUGGGCAAAGAACACACACACUACCAAGUGUUGAUCCUGCCAGAAAGUAUUCUGUGCAGAUAAGAGUGAAAAAAACAAACACUUGCAUGGAAAAUUACAUCUGGAGUGACUGGAGUGAAGUAGUGGUGCUGAAUGCUGUUCAACAGCCUUCAAGUAUAAACGUGCUCCAGAUUGUUGGCAUUGGUCUCGGCAUUCCCAUGAUCCUCCUCGCCCUUCUGCUCUUCUGCAGAUUCCACAGGAUAUAUGACAAAAUUUUUCCUCAAAUUCCUGGCCCAUCAAAAAAGAUGAAGAUACUACUGGAGAAGGAGCACUUAUUCCUGACAACGAAGACAAAGUGCACAGAAGAAACACUUCAAGAUGUUACUAUUGUGGAAUGUGUGAAACUACCUGACUGAGUUUUUAAAACAUGAAAAUGACCUACUGGGAAGAAGCACAUUUUACCAUGGUGAAGUGGUGGCAGUCACAUCACAGGGUGGGGCUGAACUUGGACUUGAAUUUUUUCAGCGGGCCGCCUCUCCUUGAAGACUUACUGUCAUUAAUUGUCCAUCACAGACAUUAGGAAUAAGUAUACCAGGGAGCUGCUUUGAGCAUGGAAAGCAAACCGGUCGCAUGAAGAAAGCUUUUCCCCAAAGCAUGGUGACUGAGGCAGAGUACAGCAUGGUCAUCAGUCCAUCACAAGGCAAUCUCACACACACACACACACACACACACACACACACACACACGCACACAUGCACAUACACACACACACAUAGACUAAGGACAAUUUAAAGUCACCUGAAACACGUCUAUGGACUGUAGCAGGAAACCUAGGCAAACAUUGGGAGAAAACGCAAAAUUCGCAAAGGCUGAGCUAGGCUUGAACCCACAUCCAAACCCUCAACCCGGGAGCUCUGAAGCACCAGCAGUACCCACUUUCUCAUUUUAAACAACAUUUGUUUCUUCUUUCCGGAUAACCUUCUGUUUUUCAUUAUUGACGGACUCUUUGCAGUUUACUGGGAUUUUUUUUUCCAUAGAAACACUAAUGGAACUACCGGAAUUUUGAUAUUCAUCUUGCUGGCAUCAAAAGAUCAAGGUUAUCAUCUCCUGGCUGGCUCUGACACAUUCACUUCAUCACACACGAGGGCGUAGCUUCCUAUUUCUGUGAAACACUGACCCUUAUUCUUAACCCAUGCACUUCCUGCUUUUCAUUGUACCAACAGAGACAAUGAGAGCUCCAACAUCAGAGACACUCGAGAAGAUCCCAUAAAUGAUAUGCAUCUCUGGCUGGUCCCAUGGCAACCGUGUUGACUUUAGCGUUGCUUUUUUGAUCUUGCGACGCUUUGAUUCAUUCCUCUUUCACUCUUUUAGCUCAACCUAUCAUUGCAGUUCUGGGCUUUGUUCAUGACAGCUCUCAUCUUGUCUGAGUUUCUGAACAAACAGAUGGGAUCCCAGAGGACGCCUCCUUGCAGAAAGGAGGCUCGAUUUAACAGUAUUCAGAGAUCCCCCCUCACCCACCCUAAUUUUUUCCACCCCUCCAUCUUCCUUUGCACUGCAGUUCCUUCACAAGUCUUCUCCUUUUGCAGUCCAGAGCAUCUGUAUUUUCUUUACAUUGUGUAUGUAACCAUUGUAUGUGACUAUUGUAACCAUUGUAUGUAACCAUUGUAUGUAACCAGUGUAACCAUUGUGACCAUGUAACCAUUUCUAUUUGUUUAGCUAAUUAAUAGACCUUGAAGAAAUUCAUCCAGCAGUGAUUUUGCCGCCAUCUAGUGAGAAACUCAUUAAACGACACAUCGCAAAUUUUUAAAUGCAAUGCAGAACAUCAGUUGAAACAAUCUGAAGUGUCUUGAAAAAUACUACAACUACAAUACUGGAUUGUAAGGUACUAUCAGCAUUCAGUGAACAGAUUAAAAAAAUGCUGGCACAAAUAUUAAAAUGUGCAAUGCUUGGGAAUAGGGUUGCAGUCUUAUGAUUAGAUUCUGCACCCUAAAGUCUGCCAUGAGCUCAUGAGCUAUUUUUACCUCUUUUACAUCUGAGCUGAAAUCCUGAAUGGAAAAGAAAGUUUAUUAGAUCUCUGGCGUGGCUGGCAAUUAUGCUGCAACAGCCACCGCGUUUCAAAUACUGCAAGAAAAAAGUAAAGUGUAUUAAAGUCCUUUGGAAAUUAUUUUAAGUAUGUUUUGGGGGUUGUGAGGGCAGUGGGUAACAUGUUUGUCAAGUUCUCAUCAUGCAGUCAGAAGGGUCCCUUGAGCCAAGUAGUAACUCUGAAUUGCUGCAGUAAAAACACCUUGUUGCAUAAAAGGGCAAAUCAUUGUGCAGUUUGCCUUUGUAAAAACCUAAAGAUGUCAGGUUCUCUGGAGAGAAUUUUAAGAUAAAAAAUACAUAAUAGAUUUCACGGGCAUUUUUCACACACGCACACACGCAUCUUCUGAACUGCUUGUCCCAAACGGGGUCGCGGAGAGCCGGAGCCUAACCCGGCAACACAAGGCGUAAGGCUGGAGGGGGAGGGGACACACCCAGGACGGGACGCCAGUCCAUUGCAAGGCACCCCAAGCAGGACUUGAACCCCAGACCCACUGGAGAGCGGGACCUGGUCCAAACCACUGCGCCACCACGCCCCCCCGGGCAUUUUUCAUUAAAAAUUCUAAUAUAUGUAUGUCACCAUGCCUUGCAGAAGUCAGUUAAUGUUGUACAGGAUUCAUUUUUUUUUUAUUCUGUAAUACAGUAUACAGAUUCCCAAAGAAUAAAUUUAGGGUAAUCGAGGUUUCUUACA
ensembl:lncRNA